GUGAGGAAUAUUGGUCAAUGGACGGAAGUCUGAACCAGCCAUGCCGCGUGCAGGAUGAAUGUGCUAUGCAUUGUAAACUGCUUUUGUACGAGGGUAAACACAGAUACGCGUAUCUGCUUGAAAGUAUCGUACGAAUAAGGAUCGGCUAACUCCGUGCCAGCAGCCGCGGUAAUACGGAGGAUCCGAGCGUUAUCCGGAUUUAUUGGGUUUAAAGGGUGCGUAGGCUGUUUUUUAAGUUAGAGGUGAAAGCUCGACGCUCAACGUCGAAAUUGCCUCUGAUACUGAGAGACUAGAGUGUAGUUGCGGAAGGCGGAAUGUGUGGUGUAGCGGUGAAAUGCUUAGAUAUCACACAGAACACCGAUUGCGAAGGCAGCUUUCCAAGCUAUUACUGACGCUGAGGCACGAAAGCGUGGGGAGCGAACAGGAUUAGAAACCCCAGUAGUCC
rnacentral:rRNA from 1 species